rnacentral:rRNA from 1 species
AGUGAACGCUGGCGGUAGGCCUAACACAUGCAAGUCGAACGGCAGCACAGUAAGAGCUUGCUCUUACGGGUGGCGAGUGGCGGACGGGUGAGGAAUACAUCGGAAUCUACUUUUUCGUGGGGGAUAACGUAGGGUAACUUACGCUAAUACCGCAUACGACCUACGGGUGAAAGCAGGGGAUCUUCGGACCUUGCGCGAUUGAAUGAGCCGAUGUCGGAUUAGCUAGUUGGCGGGGUAAAGGCCCACCAAGGCGACGAUCCGUAGCUGGUCUGAGAGGAUGAUCAGCCACACUGGGACUGAGACACGGUCCAGACUCCUACGGGAGGCAGCAGUGGGGAAUAUUGGACAAUGGGCGCAAGCCUGAUCCAGCCAUACCGCGUGGGUGAAGAAGGCCUUCGGGUUGUAAAGCCCUUUUGUUGGGAAAGAAAAGCAGCAGGUUAAUACCCCGCUGUUCUGACGGUACCCAAAGAAUAAGCACCGGCUAACUUCGUG